rnacentral:sRNA from 1 species
AACCGCAUUGUUCUGAGAUUGGAAAACUCAACGUUAAAAAAUUUAACGAGUAAUGUUCGGUUUUUAAUGGCGGGCUGCGCCUUCGGGUAUCCCAUGUGGACGGCAGAUUACAACGAAAACUAACAUCUCAAAUCCUAUUUAUAGGAGUUUUCUCAACUAAUGGCAAUGCGGCUUUUUUC